CCGACAGGCUCUUAUCCAAACCCAAACUCCCUCUGACUUCACCCCAUCACAGAGGGUGAUCCUGAUGGAUCCAAGCCAAGACCCGGAUGGCAUCUCGUGGGAUAACAGAUCCUGAGGAAAAACAUUGGUAUUUGACAUGGGUUUUGAUCACACAGCAACCGAGGAGGAAGUAUAUAUGUCCACAACAGAGAGCCUGAUAGAAGGAGUCAUUUCUGGCUUCAGUGCAACCAUUUUUGCAUGCAGUCCAACAGCUGGGAACCAGAGAAGGCUCAGGAUGCAUGCAAGGAUGAUAUCAAAGGAGGAGAAAGGAGGAAACACUGAGGAGGAAGACACGGAGUUACAGCAGAGAGAGAUCAACCUGCUGCUGGCAGAAGAGCACAGGACAGUGGCCCUGAGGACAGAGCUGGAGCAUCACUUAACAAAUGCCAAGGAAAAAGCUCCUCAAAUUUUUCCCCAGACAAAUCACUGGUGAGGAUCAGCAGGAGGUGCUAAGGCUUCUCUGCAGGGCCCAUGAGCUUCAGCUUGGCAAUACAGAACUGAGGCAAAUACACUGGAAAGGCAGAACCUGUUGUACCAGAAGGAUUCUGUGAUCCAGCAACUGCAGCAGCACAUGCUACUACUCCGCAAAGAAAUUACUCAGCAGUAACAGAUGUUAAUAAAAGAGGGGACUCCACACAAGGUACUGCCAAAAGGCAACGCUCCUGCAAGCACCACCCAGCACAGCAAUGCCGGUCACGUCAAAGGACGGCACCUACAGAAACAAGGCCUGCAGAUGGUGCCAGCAGUCGGCAAAAGUCACAGGCAGUCGCCUGUCUGGGAGCCAGCCCAGGACUAACCAGAAGUCACCUGUGAACAGGAUUCUCUUUGGCCCCAAAGGAUUGCAAUUUCAACAUUGCUGGAAGUUGAGGAAGCAGAUUUAGAAGUGUGCCUUCAAAUGCAUUUAAGCUUCUGUGUUGUGCUGCUGAAGAGCAGAGGGAAGGCGAGCAGGGAGGAGAGGAAGCCUAUACACUGUAUAUUUCCUGUUCUAUAUCUCUACUUUAAGUCUUUUCUCUGUCCUGUGUGCUCUAGCUGUUAGCUUCAAAAACAAGUAGGGUGUUAAGAGAGUCCAAGAGAAGAGGAAAACCUCAUUUUCCCAGCAGUGUCUGUCUCCCAGAAGAGGUCAGCGUGGAGCCCAAGACGCCUUUUACUCCCAGGGCAAAAGUGUGGAUGCCACCCAUGCAUCCAAAAGACUCCCUGACUAUUAAAACCAAAUGUAAAUGCCUGAGAAAUAGUUUCCCUGUUCUUUCCCUGCGUGUUGCUGUGAAGCUGGGAGGUGUACUGCACGUCUGGAAUGCUGUUUGGGUGAGCAGAUGUUUGGCUGUGAGAGCAGCCAGAGAUCACUCUAAGCUCUGUUCUGUCCACAGAGCAUUUCAGAUCUGACUGCAGACAGAGAGGCAGCAGUGGGGAUAGGUGAAGACCCUGAUAAGAAUGACUAGCCUGGAGAUAAACUGUGGGAAUGUGUUAUUCUUUUUGGAACAAUUGUCUUCAGCUGGCAGCCUUCUCCAUUAAGGGGCUUUUAAAAUAAGCUGCAAAUAAAAUGGUUCAAUAAGUGCACAGAAUAGUGACUCCUUGUCCCAGCAGAAGUGGCUCCCCUCCUCUAAGGUGACAGUCUCAGAAUCCCUGAAUUCUCAGGAUUGGGAGGGACCUCUGAAGAUCACCUAGUCAAACUCCCUUCCACGGAGGAGUCACCUAACGCAGAUGACACAGGAACGCGUCCAGG